rnacentral:tRNA from 1 species
GGAGAGGUUGGAGAAUUGGUACUCCGCUCGCCUGGAACGCGGGUACGCCUUUGGCUAUGCAGGUUCGAGUCCUGUCCUCUCCG